UACGGAGGGGGCGAGCGUUAUUCGGAAUUACUGGGCGUAAAGGGCCAGUAGGCGGCCAACUAAGUCGGAUGUGAAAUCCCCAGGCUCAACUUGGGAACUGCAUCCGAUACUGGAUGGCUUGAAUUCGGGAGAGGGAUGCAGAAUUCCAGGUGUAGCGGUGAAAUGCGUAGAUAUCUGGAGGAAUACCGGUGGCGAAGGCGGCAUCCUGGACCGACAUUGACGCUGAACGGCGAAAGCUAGGGGAGCAAACGGG
rnacentral:rRNA from 1 species